AAAGAAAAAUUACAAGAACAAUGCUUAAUAUGUUGGAACAAAAAAGAAGUUGGUGAGACAAUCUUGGCUAAACUCACUCCUUUAUUUCUUUUUUUAAGUUGUAGUGUAGCUGGUAGGCUGAGCAAUUGAAGUGUAUUAAAGAGGAAUUUUGGUAAUAGUUCAUUUUGUGCAUUUAGAUACUAAUUCAAAUUUACCUAUUUAAUCUUCAUGUAAAAAUAAUAUUUUAAAUUUACAAGAGUUAAAAAGGAAUUGGCUGAGAACAUAUGAAGGUACAUCAUCGAUUAAUAUCAUAUUAUUGGUUAUAACAAGAGGGCUCAAGUUCGAAUCUAAUCCAAACGGGUUUUGUUGUAGUCGGCCUUCGGGCGGCCUUUUGAUAGUUGGCUUGGGCUACUCAUUUAUCUACAAUUGUUUAUUUCAAUAUCAUUAUACGUUUAUAUUGAAAAUUUCUUUCAUUACAAAGUUUAUCUCAAUGCCAAUAGAUAUUAUAUGUUUGUGUUAAGCCACCCGCGAAAUUCGCGGGAUCU
rnacentral:lncRNA from 1 species